AGCGGUGUCGGCUUUCGGCAAGAAGUUCACUUCGUUCUGGUGAGAGAACGGCGCGAGGAGCUUGGCAAGCGCGGGGAGAUCUACUCAUUGCAAGGGGGAAAAACCUAUGAAGAACCCAGGGGCUUCGGCUCGCGGCGCUGGACUCUGAGUAUAACCCUUCGGAAAGCAGGGCGAUCCCUGGACGCUGCACCGCACGGAGCAAACGGCGGCCAGAGCGGGCGCCUGCCGGAGCAGCCGGAGCCGCCG